rnacentral:lncRNA from 10 species
GCAAGCUCUAACAUAAUCUCCGUCCUCUGCUAACAUUAUCUGAUAGCUCAGAUGCUGAAACAUUUCAUUCUUCUUUAAACUCCAUGGCGUUUAUGCGCGUGAGCCGCCACACCUGGGCUGACUCUUUUUUGUAAUUCUUUCACAGAUGUUCCAUCUGUCUAACUAGUUUUCAAGUUCCUUGAGGACAAGGAUAAUGAUAUUAUUACAGCUGACAUUUCUUGAAUGUGGACUAUGAGCUAGCAUUUUCAAUUUAUAAACUCGCUUAACCCGCACCACAGCCUGAUGAGGGAGCUUGCUGUCGUCAUCCCUGAGUUAUGAAUCAGGAAGCAGAGGCCCAGGUUGCCAGCGUGUUACCCGAGGGCACAAGGUUAGUGAGCAGCAGCACUGAAGCACUGCAGCCCAGCCCAGCAGCAAGCAGGGACAGAGUUCUGUUCGGAGAAGCUGGAAUGGACCGAAAGCCAGGGAAGGAGCUGGUGGAAACCCAGGCAGGCCUCCCUCAAGUGGCAUGAUCUCAGGAAAUGGAAAUAUUGUACAAAGAAGCAAGAUGCCUGGCGCCAACUUCCAUGCUGUGCUGAAUGACAAAUCCAAGAUGGUUGGCCAGAACGCUCCACCCUGCAAUGGCAGACUAAACAGUGUUUUCAGUGCAGAUGGAACGUUCAUCAUAUGCUGGGCCAUGAAACUAGUCUCAAUAAAUCCAGCAGGAUUGAAAUCACAUACCGGGCUUCUCCAACAAAAUGCAAUUUAAUUAGAAAUCAGUAACUGAAACUGGAACUCUUCUACACUGCUGAGUCUCACCCUGAGGCCCAGGCCGGAGUGCUGUGACGUGAUCUUGGCUCACUGCAACCUCUGCCUCCCGGAUUCAAGCAAUUCUCCUGUCUCAACCUCCCAAGUAACUGGGAUUACAGGUA